rnacentral:rRNA from 1 species
AGAACGAACGCUGGCGGCAUGCCUAAUACAUGCAAGUCGAACGAACACUUCGGUGUUAGUGGCGCACGGGUGCGUAACGCGUGGGAAUCUGCCCUUGGGUUCGGAAUAACAGUUGGAAACGACUGCUAAUACCGGAUGAUAUCGAAAGAUCAAAGAUUUAUCGCCCAGGGAUGAGCCCGCGUAGGAUUAGCUAGUUGGUGAGGUAAAGGCUCACCAAGGCGACGAUCCUUAGCUGGUCUGAGAGGAUGAUCAGCCACACUGGGACUGAGACACGGCCCAGACUCCUACGGGAGGCAGCAGUAGGGAAUAUUGGACAAUGGGCGCAAGCCUGAUCCAGCAAUGCCGCGUGAGUGAUGAAGGCCUUAGGGUUGUAAAGCUCUUUACCCGAGAUGAUAAUGACAGUAUCGGAAGAAUAAGCCCCGGACUAACUCCGUGCUAGCAGCCGC